AUUGAACGCUGGCGGCAGGCCUAACACAUGCAAGUCGAGCGGAUGAGUGGAGCUUGCUCCAUGAUUCAGCGGCGGACGGGUGAGUAAUGCCUAGGAAUCUGCCUGGUAGUGGGGGACAACGUUUCGAAAGGAACGCUAAUACCGCAUACGUCCUACGGGAGAAAGUGGGGGAUCUUCGGACCUCACGCUAUCAGAUGAGCCUAGGUCGGAUUAGCUAGUUGGUGAGGUAAAGGCUCACCAAGGCGACGAUCCGUAACUGGUCUGAGAGGAUGAUCAGUCACACUGGAAAUGAGACACGGUCCAGACUCCUACGGGGGGCAGCAGUGGGGAAUAUUGGACAAUGGGCGAAAGCCUGAUCCAGCCAUGCCGCGUGUGUGAAGAAGGUCUUCGGAUUGUAAAGCACUUUAAGUUGGGAGGAAGGGCAGUAAGUUAAUACCUUGCUGUUUUGACGUUACCAACAGAAUAAGCACCGGCUAACUUCGUGCCAGCAGCCGCCGUAACAC
rnacentral:rRNA from 1 species